rnacentral:rRNA from 1 species
GACGAACGCUGGCGGCGUGCUUAACACAUGCAAGUCGAACGGAAAGGCCCUGCUUUUGUGGGGUGCUCGAGUGGCGAACGGGUGAGUAACACGUGAGUAACCUGCCCUUGACUUUGGGAUAACUUCAGGAAACUGGGGCUAAUACCGGAUAGGAGCUCCUGCUGCAUGGUGGGGGUUGGAAAGUUUCGGCGGUUGGGGAUGGACUCGCGGCUUAUCAGCUUGUUGGUGGGGUAGUGGCUUACCAAGGCUUUGACGGGUAGCCGGCCUGAGAGGGUGACCGGCCACAUUGGGACUGAGAUACGGCCCAGACUCCUACGGGAGGCAGCAGUGGGGAAUAUUGCACAAUGGGCGGAAGCCUGAUGCAGCAACGCCGCGUGCGGGAUGACGGCCUUCGGGUUGUAAACCGCUUUCGCCUGUGACGAAGCGUGAGUGACGGUAAUGGGUAAAGAAGCACCGGCUAACUACGUGCCAGCAGCCGCGGUGAUACGUAGGGUGCGAGCGUUGUCCGGAUUUAUUGGGCGUAAAGGGCUCGUAGGUGGUUGAUCGCGUCGGAAGUGUAAUCUUGGGGCUUAACCCUGAGCGUGCUUUCGAUACGGGUUGACUUGAGGAAGGUAGGGGAGAAUGGAAUUCCUGGUGGAGCGGUGGAAUGCGCAGAUAUCAGGAGGAACACCAGUGGCGAAGGCGGUUCUCUGGGCCUUUCCUGACGCUGAGGAGCGAAAGCGUGGGGAGCGAACAGGCUUAGAUACCCUGGUAGUCCACGCUGUAAACGGUGGGUACUAGGUGUGGGGUCCAUUCCACGGGUUCCGUGCCGUAGCUAACGCUUUAAGUACCCCGCCUGGGGAGUACGGCCGCAAGGCUAAAACUCAAAGGAAUUGACGGGGCCCCGCACAAGCGGCGGAGCAUGCGGAUUAAUUCGAUGCAACGCGUAGAACCUUACCUGGGUUUGACAUGGAUCGGGAGCGCUCAGAGAUGGGUGUGCCUCUUUUGGGGUCGGUUCACAGGUGGUGCAUGGCUGUCGUCAGCUCGUGUCGUGAGAUGUUGGGUUAAGUCCCGCAACGAGCGCAACCCUUGUUCACUGUUGCCAGCACGUUAUGGUGGGGACUCAGUGGCGACCGCCGGGGUCAACUCGGAGGAAGGUGGGGAUGACGUCAAGUCAUCAUGCCCCUUAUGUCCAGGGCUUCACGCAUGCUACAAUGGCUGGUACAGAGAGUGGCGAGCCUGUGAGGGUGAGCGAAUCUCGGAAAGCCGGUCUCAGUUCGGAUUGGGGUCUGCAACUCGACCUCAUGAAGUCGGAGUCGCUAGUAAUCGCAGAUCAGCAACGCUGCGGUGAAUACGUUCCCGGGGCU